rnacentral:rRNA from 1 species
CUUAACCUAGCGGCGGACGGGUGAGUAAUGCUUAGGAAUCUGCCUAUUAGUGGGGGACAACAUCUCGAAAGGGAUGCUAAUACCGCAUACGUCCUACGGGAGAAAGCAGGGGACCUUCGGGCCUUGCGCUAAUAGAUGAGCCUAAGUCGGAUUAGCUAGUUGGUGGGGUAAAGGCCUACCAAGGCGACGAUCUGUAGCGGGUCUGAGAGGAUGAUCCGCCACACUGGGACUGAGACACGGCCCAGACUCCUACGGGAGGCAGCAGUGGGGAAUAUUGGACAAUGGGGGGAACCCUGAUCCAGCCAUGCCGCGUGUGUGAAGAAGGCCUUUUGGUUGUAAAGCACUUUAAGCGAGGAGGAGGCUACCGAGAUUAAUACUCUUGGAUAGUGGACGUUACUCGCAGAAUAAGCACCGGCUAACUCUGUGCCAGCAGCCGCGGUAAUACAGAGGGUGCAAGCGUUAAUCGGAUUUACUGGGCGUAAAGCGCGCGUAGGUGGCCAAUUAAGUCAAAUGUGAAAUCCCCGAGCUUAACUUGGGAAUUGCAUUCGAUACUGGUUGGCUAGAGUAUGGGAGAGGAUGGUAGAAUUCCAGGUGUAGCGGUGAAAUGCGUAGAGAUCUGGAGGAAUACCGAUGGCGAAGGCAGCCAUCUGGCCUAAUACUGACACUGAGGUGCGAAAGCAUGGGGAGCAAACAGGAUUAGAUACCCUGGUAGUCCAUGCCGUAAACGAUGUCUACUAGCCGUUGGGGCCUUUGAGGCUUUAGUGGCGCAGCUAACGCGAUAAGUAGACCGCCUGGGGAGUA